GGGGAGAGCAUCUCAGGGACCUGGGCUUCCUGAGGAGUGCUGCAAAGCUAGAGAUCCCCCUCAUCACUUGGGUCUGUUGUCUUGGUCUAAAGCCAUGAUGGAGUCCCUUCUGCCAUGGCCCCAGACGUCGGGUGAUGGGCACCGUGCAGAUGUGCCCCAAGGGCACCUGCAGCACCAGCUCCCUGCUCCCACACCUCCUUGCUGGCUGCGGUGCCGCGUGCCGCUCUCUGCAGCCGAAGCCCUUCUGACGGUCGGGGAAAAUGGAUUCAACCCACAAAAAUAUGUUGCAUGUUGCAAGUGGAAUUUGCCCUCUGGCCUUCGGCUCCCCCUCUCCCGUGACCAACAAGUGCUGUUUUCUCCUCUCUCCCCUUGCUGGUGAAAGCUGCCUUUAGCUCGCUGCGUGCGCUUGGUUUGGAGCCAGUGCCGAGUUUCCUUCACGCCUCCGUCUGCUGUGCAGCCAGAGAAAAAGCAGCGCGUGCCAUUUUCCUCUGCAAUGGGCAAAGACUGCUGAGUGUCCUCUCUGUCCCACCACGACUGGGUGGGGGGGCUCACUGGAUAAGCCUCAUUUUCUCUCAUUUCUUAGCACUUGUGGUGACGCAAAGUAAAGUAAUGAUGGUGGUGAUCAAGUCUUGGGCAUCAAAAUAUAAAGCAAUUGACAGUGAAAAUCGGGGACAGAAGGGUAGGCUGGGAUGAGAGCGAUAGGAGGAGAGAGAGUGGCUGUAAGUUCUACUGGCAGAGGCUCGGGUUGGGUAUUAGGAAGCAUUUCUUCUCCAAAGAGCAGUCAGGCAGUGGCACA